rnacentral:lncRNA from 1 species
UCACCUCAAGCUCCCUUUGUUUCAUCACGAGCCCUUCAAUGGUUAACUUAGCAUGGGAGCCUUUGGGCAUUACAUUAAGGGAAAAUCCAAUGUCCACCAAUACUCUUGAUAGAACUGUGCCUACGCACUAAAUAUAAAUAUGGAUAGCCUUGUUGUGAUUUUGUCCCUCAGCAGGGAUCUCCUCGUCACUAAUACCCAAGCUUAGACUAGUG